rnacentral:rRNA from 1 species
GGGGAACCAGGACUUUUACUGUGAAAAAAUUAGAGUGCUCCAGGCAGGCCUAUGCUCGAAUACAUUAGCAUGGAAUAAUAGAAUAGGACGUGUGGUUCUAUUUUGUUGGUUUCUAGGACCGCCGUAAUGAUUAAUAGGGACAGUCGGGGGCAUCAGUAUUCAAUUGUCAGAGGUGAAAUUCUUGGAUUUAUUGAAGACUAACUACUGCGAAAGCAUUUGCCAAGGAUGUUUUCAUUAAUCAGGAACGAAAGUUAGGGGAUCGAAGACGAUCAGAUACCGUCGUAGUCUUAACCAUAAACUAUGCCGACUAGGGAUCGGACGGUGUUAUUUUUUGACCCGUUCGGCACCUUACGAGAAAUCAAAGUGCUUGGGCUCCAGGGGGAGUAUGGUCGCAAGGCUGAAACUUAAAGAAAUUGACGGAAGGGCACCACCAGGGGUGGAGCCUGCGGCUUAAUUUGACGCAACACGGGGAAACUCACCAGGUCCAGACACAAUGAGGAUUGACAGAUUGAGAGCUCUUUCUUGAUUUUGUGGGUGGUGGUGCAUGGCCGUUCUUAGUUGGUGGAGUGAUUUGUCUGCUUAAUUGCGAUAACGAACGAGACCU